rnacentral:rRNA from 1 species
GACGUAGGGUGCAAGCGUUGUCCGGAUUUAUUGGGCGUAAAGAGCUCGUAGGCGGUUUGUCGCGUCGGAUGUGAAAACCCAGGGCUCAACCCUGGGCCUGCAUUCGAUACGGGCAGACUAGAGUAUGGCAGGGGAGACUGGAAUUCCUGGUGUAGCGGUGAAAUGCGCAGAUAUCAGGAGGAACACCGGUGGCGAAGGCGGAUCUCUGGGCCUUACCUGACGCUGAGGAGCGAAAGCGUGGGGAGCGAACAGG